CUUGCAUCUCUACGCCUAAGGCGGGAGCUCCUGGAGGCGGAGGCAGCGGGUGGGGGCCUAGUGGAGUGAGGGGUAACAAGAUGGCGACCGAAACGGUGGAGCUCCAUAAGCUGAAGCUUGCUGAACUAAAGCAAGAAUGUCUUGCUCGUGGUUUGGAGACCAAGGGAAUAAAGCAAGAUCUUAUCCACAGACUCCAGGCAUAUCUUGAAGAACAUGCUGAAGAGGAGGCAAAUGAAGAAGAUGUACUGGGAGAUGAAACAGAGGAAGAAGAAACAAAGCCCAUUGAGCUACCUGUCAAAGAGGAAGAACCCCCUGAAAAAACUGUUGAUGUGGCAGCAGAGAAGAAAGUGGUGAAAAUUACAUCUGAAAUACCACAGACUGAGAGAAUGCAGAAGAGGGCUGAACGAUUCAAUGUACCUGUGAGCUUGGAGAGUAAGAAAGCUGCUCGGGCAGCUAGGUUUGGGAUUUCUUCAGUUCCAACAAAAGGUCUGUCAUCUGAUAACAAACCUAUGGUUAACUUGGAUAAGCUGAAGGAAAGAGCUCAAAGAUUUGGUUUGAAUGUCUCUUCAAUCUCCAGAAAGUCUGAAGAUGAUGAGAAACUGAAAAAGAGGAAGGAGCGAUUUGGGAUUGUCACAAGUUCAGCUGGAACUGGAACCACAGAGGAUACAGAGGCAAAGAAGAGGAAAAGAGCAGAGCGCUUUGGGAUUGCCUGAUGAAAAGUUCUUGAUACUAUCUGUUCUCCAGUGUUUUCCAUUUCUCUCAUUCUUCUUGGUCACAUAUAUGCCUAAAUGCACAGUCACGUGCCUACGUCCUGCCUCGCAAUGAGGGAGCAUGUACCCCAGAGACAGUGUCUUACUAUGUUGCUCAGCUUGGAGUACAGUGGCUAUUUACAGGUCCAAUCAUAGCACACUGCAGCCCUGACCCUCUGGCCUCAAGUGGUCCUCCUGCCGCAACCUCCUGAAUAGCUGGAACUACAGGAGCACACCACUGGGUCCUGCUUUCCUUAUUUUUUAAAAAUGUUCAAGUGCUGGAUUGUGUCAUGUGACCAUCCCAAAACUCAGAGCACCCUAUGGCCAUCUUUGCCCUCUGUCACAUAACUUGAAAACUGCCUGAUGGCCUUUUUGCAGUGGUUCCCUCCAGGAAGCCUUGAUCUCAGUUGAAGAAGUUCUUUCCCGGCAUUCCAGUGCCCCUGUCAGCUCCAUACUCCUCAGACACCCUUAACAAAGGCUGUCAUGCACACAAUGUAACAAAUACACAAAAUAAAUGAUAAUUACACUAAUAAUGAUAUGUUCAGAGGGGCACUGGCCAGGUCCACACAUAUCAUAGGUGGGAGGGGGUGCUAACUCCCACUGGGUUGCUGAGCUGUCCCCCAAGCCCCUUUACUCCAUGCCUCUUUGGGGGUGGGGAGGAACAGGGGAAUGAGAGUUCAGCUCACAGAUUUAUGUUCAGAAGAGAAAGACCCCUGCCCCCGCCACCACACACACACACAAAGGUCUUUAUUUGGUGGUAUUAAAGGGGCAGUAUUCUAAGUGUCCCCCAUAUUUAAUGGCCCAGCUCUCUAGAAUCUGUAGAAGGAAGAUAUACCUGAUGCUUAUUGCCCAAUCCCUACUCUGCGAAGAUCAAGAGGCAUUUGACCUUGGAGGGAGAUAUCAUCUGUUCUUCACUUCUCUGUUCCUUUCCUUCCACCAAGGAAAUGUGAGUGGUGUUGAUGGCCGGGUGUGUCUUGUUCUCCAGGAUUGGGGCAGAAGGAAGGAUGAAGAACAGGGCCAGAGAGGCUUGGGGUUAGCAUAGCUGCUAUAUGGGUGAAGGCAAGCUGAAAAGCCUAACAGCCCCUGCCCAUUCCUCUACUGAAACACCUUGUUUCACUUUCUCACUAUAAGAAUAGGAAUAAGAUGUUAAAGCUCACCAACAUCACCUUCUCAAGGGUGGUCACAUACCUUUGCCCCUUCCACCAACUGGCCAAGAGGGAGAGUCAUGCUCUUGGGAAGAAUGAGCCAUCCAGGUUUGCUCACCAGCUUGGGCUUUACUUUAAGUUCAGUACUGUUUUUAUCAGACCCGUAACUGCUGGCUCUACUUAGAGUGACAGUUUUGCUGAAGGUUCUUACCCCACCUCUCCUGACAUCCUCUAAGCUCUUGCCUGGAGCCAAGAGGCGUGGUGGUGAAGUAAGGAUAGGGUGUGGAUCAGGAGAUUCUCAACUUGGCUUCUAGGCACUGUCCAGCUGGGAGGCAGAGGGGAACUUGUACUCUGAAGCCUGUAACUCCUCUUAAGCCUCACAUCUCUUCACCACUACUCUGGUGCCCUGGUUAUCUGUCCCACAGCGAGAGGUAUUUUAUGUCCAUAAAGUGCCCGUGGUAAGUGCUCAGAAUUCAUCUCUUGGCUGUGGCGGGUGCUGUCAUUUCUCAUUCCAUUGAGGGGAAGAAACUGAGGCACAGCGAGUCCAGAGGAGAAUGGGUCAGGGUUGUGGGAGGAAUUAAUGGGCCUAGCUAGUAACUUGAAAUGGCAACCAGUCUCUGCCUUCUUCCUAGCCUUCCAAACCCGGGAGUCUCCAUCCUUCCCAUCCUCUGUUCUAACUGGCCUUGUCAGAUGCUUUUCCCCACUGUACUUUCCCCUCCCUGCUGCCAGGUACUGUUAGAUUCCAAAAAUAAAAGGAAAAUAAUUAUACACUCUGCUUCCUUGUUCUCCCCUCUUCCACCCUGAGCUUUUGGGGUUAGGGGACUAAAAUAUCCCCCUUCCAGAAUCCCUCCCACCUUGGUCUGCUGGCUUUAUUCCCUAGCCCAGAGCAGUGAUUUGGAUUCAAAUGCCCUGUAACCUUCAGCCUCCUUACUGCUCCUUUCUUGACCUCUCCUAACGCUUUCCAGACCCAGGGGACUCUAGGGUCUCUAUACUCUUUCUUAUUGACCUGAAGAUAGAGGCUGGGAGCAGGGCCAUUCCAGAGGCUCUUUGGUCUCUCUCUUGGCUGAGGGAAUUUGGGCUUAAGCAGGCUGCACCCUCUGGCUAAGUAACUCAGUAUCAUGAGGGUUGACCUGAGGGUUUAAAGUAGCUCUCAUCAUAUAGAUCCUGGAUGUUGAGGGUUCUCUUUCCCACCCCUCUAUCCCCAGCUCUUAAACCCUAACCUCUUACUAUUUCCAUGACAACUGGCUUAAAUUCAACCCAUUUGGCUCAGAAAAAGUUGAGUUAGGGUGAUAAUGGGUUAGAAACUAAACUUCAUGUGUCGACCCUCUUGCCCUUUACUCCCAUUCCCAACCCUGGAGGCUUUAUACAAGUGCUUAAGUGGGUAGGUGUUGGGGAGAGCAGGGUUUGGGGAAUAAGGGAUAAAUGGGGCACAGUGGGCAGGGGCCCUCCUAUUCCAGUAAAGCCAAAUACCAAAAAAAUGAAAAGUCACAAUAAAUAAAUAAAUAAAAAUUCCCAAAUCCUUUUGCCCCUGCCCUCACUUCCCUUCCCCUAGCCACUGUGGAGGGAGAGAAGGGAAAAAGAACGGAUUUUUGAUUUCUUCUCCUACUGAGUAGUCAGGGGAUCUCCCCAAACUAUACCAAGCCCCUCACCUUGCCAGUGGAAGAAAGGAGGCUUGGUGUGGGGCUUUCAUUUAUUACUCCAUUUCAGUCUCUUUCUCAGUGUUUUGUCUCUGCCUAGUCUGUCUCUUCUGCCUCUCUCUCUUUGCCUUCUCACUGCUGCUCUUUUUGUUCCUCUGUCUCUAUCCCUCUGUCUCUACAUCUCUCUGUCUUUUUGUCAAACCUUCGCAUCUGCAAACUUCAAACACUCCCCACCC